rnacentral:rRNA from 1 species
AGAGUUUGAUCAUGGCUCAGAACGAACGCUGGCGGCAGGCUUAACACAUGCAAGUCGAACGGUUGUAGCAAUACAGCAGUGGCAGACGGGUGAGUAACACGUGGGAACCUUCCUAGGGGUACGGAACAACUCAGGGAAACUUGAGCUAAUACCGUAUACGUCCGUGAGGAGAAAGAUUUAUCGCCCUUAGACGGGCCCGCGUCGGAUUAGCUAGUUGGUGGGGUAACGGCCUACCAAGGCGACGAUCCGUAGCUGAUCUUAGAGGAUGAUCAGCCACACUGGGACUGAGACACGGCCCAGACUCCUACGGGAGGCAGCAGUGGGGAAUCUUGGACAAUGGGCGCAAGCCUGAUCCAGCCAUGCCGCGUGAGUGAAGAAGGUCUUCGGAUUGUAAAGCUCUUUUGCCAGGGACGAUAAUGACGGUACCUGGAGAAUAAGCCCCGGCAAACUUCGUG